AAAAUGCAACAGAAAAUAACCAAGAAUGAUAAAAGAAAAAAAGAUAGAAAAAUAAAAAAUUCCAAAACCUUAUAAAAAUUUAUGAAAUUAUGAAUAAAGAAAGAAAAUAAAAUAAGAAAAAAAAUUAAAGCAAAAGAAAAAAGAUAGAUAAAGCACGAAAAAAGAAAAAAAAAACAAAAAUACAACAAAAAAUUAUAAAAAGUAAGAAAAUGAAAAAGGACAAAAAUUGAAUAAAAAUUUCAAAAAUGAAAUGGAAUGACAAAAUGAAAAAAAAAUUAGUUUAAAAAAUACAAAAAAUUAAAAAACAUAUAAGACCAAACAAUCUAAAAAGUCUGACAAAAAAUUAAAAAAGAGAAAAGUUAAUGCAAAAUAAAAAAAAAAAGUAUGAGAAUUUAAAAACGCAAAUAAGAAAUGAAAGGAAAUUUGUGGAAAAAAAAAGAAAAGACAAAAGAUUUGGAAUAAAAAAGAGAAAAAUAAAAAUUUUUAAAACAACGAAAAAAUUAAAAAAAGUAAAAAUGAAAACAUAUGAAAAAAAAAAAGCAAAAAGAAGGAAAAUUGCAAAGGGAAAAAGUUAUUAAAAAUUUACAAAGUAAAAAAAAGUUAGGGAAUCAAAAAAUAUAAAAGGAAAAAAAUAAAAAUAAACAAAGUAAGAAAAUAAAAAAUUAGGGAAUCAAAAAAUAUAAAAAGACAAAAUGAAUAAAAAUUUCAAAUAUAAAAAGAAAGUGCACAAAAAAAGAAGUUUGAGGUUUUAAAAUUACAAAGAAGAAAUAAAAAAAGGUGUGAACAAAAAGAUUUAAGAAAAAAAUAACAAAUGAAAAUACAAAAAUAUAACAAAUAUUUGAGAAAAAAAUGAGAAAAGAAGAAAAAAUAAAAAAUGAAGAGGCAAAAUAUGAAAUAAAACAAAAGAAAAAAUUUAUAGAAAUUUUAAAACAAAGAAAAAAAUACAAAAAAGGACAAAAAUUGAAUAAAAAUUCAAAAAUGAAAUGGAAUGCACAUGAAAAAAAAAAAUAGUUUUAAAAAAGACAAAAAAAAAUUGAAAAACAUAUAAGUCCUAACAAAUAUAAAAGUCAGACAAAAAUUAAAAGAGAAAAGUUAAUGCAAAAUAAAAAAGUAGAGAAUUUUAAAAAAUGCAUAAUAAGAAUGAAAGGAAAUGUUGUGGAAAAAAAAAGAAGCAAGAAAAGACAAAAGAUUUGGAAUAAAAAAUAGAAAAUCAAAAUUUUAAAACAACGAAAAAUUAAAACCAGUAAAAAUGAAAGCAUUAGAAAAAAGCACAAAGAAGAAAAUUGGUGAAGAAAAAGUUAUUAAAAAAUUACAAAGUUGAAAAAAAAUAAUUAAGCGAAAAAUUAAAUAAAAUACCCAGAAAGGAAAAAUAAAAAUAAACAAAGUAAGAAAAUAAAAAUUAGCGAAGCAAAAAAAUAUAAAAAGACAAAUGAAUAAAAUUCAAAUAUAAAAUGGAAAAAACUUUUAGUUUAGAAUGUAGAAAGAAAAACAAAAAAAAAAAAAACAAAUAGAGGAAAAAGAUAUAAAUAUGAAAGAUGAAAAAUAAAAUAAAAGAAAGUGCACAAAAAAAGAAGUUUGAGGUUUUAAAAUUAUAAAGAAGAAAUAAAAAAGGUGCGAACAAAAAGAUUUAAGAAAAAAUAAAAAUGAAAAUGCAAAAUAUAUAAAAUAAAAAUUGAGAAAAGAAGAAAAAAUAAAAAAUGAAGAGGCAAAAAUAUGAAAAAAAAUAAAAAGAAAAAAUUUAUAGAAAAUUUUAAAACAAGAAAAAAGUGAACAAAAAAAAAUGAAAGCACAUAAAAAAAAGUAAAAAAAAGAAGAAAAAUUCGGAAGGAGAAAAAGUUAAUGAAAAAUUAUAAAAAUGCAACAGAAAAUAACCAAGAAUGAUAAAAGAAAAAAAGAUAGAAAAAUAAAAAAUUCCAAAACUUUAUAAAAAUUUAUGAAAUUAUAAAUAAAGAAAGAAAAUAAAACACGAAAAAAAAUUAAAGCAAAAGAAAAAAGAUAAAUAAAGCACAAAAAAAAAAAACAAAAAUACAACAAAAAUAUAAAAAGUAAGAAAAUGAAAAAGGACAAAAAUUGAAUAAAAAUUUCAAAAAUGAAAUGGAAUGACAAAAUGAAAAAAAUUAGUUUAAAAAAUACAAAAAAUUGAAAAACAUAUAAGUUCUAACAAUAUAAAAAGUUUGGGAAUUUAAAAACACAAAUAAGAAAUGAAAGGAAAUUUAUGGAAAAAAAAAAAGAAAAGACAAAAGAUUUGGAAUAAAAAAUAGAAAAAUAAAAUUUUUAAAACGACGAAAAAUUAAAAUAAGAAAAAAAAAUUAAAGCAAAAGAAAAAAGAAAAAAAAAACAAAAAUACAACAAAAAAUUAUAAAAGGUAAGAAAAUGAAAGAGGACAGAAAAUGAAUAAAAAUUUCAAAAAUGAAAUGGAAUGACAAAAUGAAAAUAAAAUUAGUUUAAAAAAAAAAAAAAAUUGAAAAACAUAUAAGACCUAACAAUAUAAAAAGUCAGACAAAAAAUAAAAAAAGAGAAAAGUUAAUGCAAAAUAAAAAAAAGUAUGAGAAUUUAAAAGCGCAAAUAAGAAAUGAAAGGAAAUUUGAGGAAAAAAAGAGACAAAAGAUUUGGAAUAAAAAAUAGAAAAAUAGAAAAUUUUAAAACAACAAAAAAAAUUAAAACAAGUAAAAAUGAAAGCAUAUGAAAAAAAAAAGCAAAAAGAAGGCAAAUUAUGAAGGGAAAAAGUUAUUAAAAAAUUACAAAGUAGAAAAAAAAGAAAAUAAAAAAAUAAAUUAAGAGAAAAAAUUAAAUAAAAUACCAAAAAAGGAAAAAAUAAAAAUAAACAAAUUAAGAAAAUAAAAAAUUAGCGAAUCAAAAAAUAUAAAAAGACAAAAUGAAUAAAAAUUUCAAAUAUAAAAUGAAAAAAACUAUUGGUUCAGAAUGUACAAAGAAAAAUAAAAAAAAUAUAACAAGCAGAGGAAAAAGAUAUAAAAUAUGAAAGAUGAAAAAUAAAAUAAAAGAAAGUGCACAAAAAAAGAAGUUUGAGGUUUUAAAACUAUAAAGAAGAAAUAAAAAAAGGUGUGAACAAAAAGAUUUAAGAAAAAAAAAAGAAAAUACAAAAUAUAUAAAAUAAAAUUUGAGAAAAAGAAGAAAAAAAUAAAAAAUGAAGAGGCAAAAAUAUGAAAUAAAAGAAAAAGAAAAAAUUUAUAGAAAAUUUUAAAACAAAGAGAAAAGUGAACAAAAAAGAAUGAUGGCAUAUAAAAAAAAAGUAAAAAAAAGAAGAAAAAUUUGGAAGGAGAAAAAGUUAAUGAAAAAAAUAUAAAAAUGCAAUAGAAAAUAACCAAGAAUGAUAAAAGAAAAAAAGAUAGAAAAGUAAAAAAUUCUAAAACUUUAUAAAAAUUUAUGAAAUUAUAAAUAAAGAAAGAAAAUAAAAAAUAAAAUAAAAUAAGAAAAAAAAGUAAAGCAAAAGAAAAAAGAUAAAUAAAGCACAAAAAAACAAAAAUACAACAAAAAAUAUAAAAAGUAAGAAAAUAAAAAAAGGACAAAAAUUGAAUAAAAAUUUCAAAAAUGAAAUGGAAUGACAAAAUGAAAAAAAAAUUAGUUUAACAAAAAAUUGAAAAACAUAUAAGACCUAAUAAUAUAAAAAGUCAGAGAAAAAAUUAAAAAAGAGCAAAGUUAAUGCAAAAUAAAAAAAAAAAGUAUGAGAAUUUAAAAACGCAAAUAGGAAAUGAAAGGAAAUUUGUGGAAAAAAAAAAGAAAAGACAAAAGAUUUGGAAUAAAAAACAGAAAAAUAAAAAUUUUUAAAACAAUGAAAAAUUAAAACAAGUAAACACGAAAGCAUAUGUAAAAAAAGCAAAAAGAAGGAAAAUUGUGAAGGGAAAAAGUUAUUAAGAAAUUACAAAGUAGAAAAAAAUAAGAAAAUAAAAAAAAUAAAUUAAGAGAAAAAAUUAACGAAUCAAAAAAAUAUAAAAAGACAAAAUGAAUAAUCAAAUAUAAAAUGGAAAAAACUUUUAGUUUAGAAUUUACAAAGAAAAAGAAAAAAAAAUAACAAAUAGAGGAAAAAGAUAUAAAAUAUGAAAGAUGAAAAAAAAAUAAAAGAAAGUGCACAAAAAAAGAAGUUUGAGGUUUUAAAGUUAUAAAGAAAAAAAAAAAAAGGUGUGAACAAAAAGAUUUAAGAAAAAAAUAAAAAAUGAAAAUACAAAAUAUAUAAAAUAAAAUUUGAGAAAAAGAAGAAAAAAAAUAAAGAAUGAAGAGGCAAAAAUAUGAAAUAAAACAAAAAGAAAAAAAAUUUAUAGAAAAUUUUAAAACAAAGAAAAAACUGAACGAAAAAGAAUGAAAGCACAUAAAAAAAAGUAAAAAAAAAGAAGAAAAAUUCGGAAGGAGAAAAAGUUAAUGAAAAAUUAUAAAAAUGCAACAGAAAAUAACCAAGAAUGAUAAGAAAAAAAAGAUAGAAAAAUAAAAAAUUCCAAAACCUUAUAAAAUUUAUGAAAUUAUGAAUAAAGAAAGAAAAUAAAAUAAGAAAAAAAUUAAAGCAAAAGAAAAAGAUAGAUAAAGCAGAAAAAGAAAAAAAAAAACAAAAAAUAACAACAAAAAAUUAAAAAAAGUAAAAAUGAAAAAGACAAAAAUGAAUAAAAAUUUCAAAAUGAAAUUGAAUGACAAAAUGAAAAAAAAAUUGAGUUUAAAAAAAAUCAAAAAAAUUAAAAAACAUAUUAAGACAAAACCAAUCUAAAAAGUCUACAAAAAUUAAAAAAGAGAAGUUAAUGCAAAAUAAAAAAAAAAAGUAUGGGAAUUUAAAAACGCAAAUAAGAAAUGAAAGGAAAUUUGUGGAAAAAAAAAAAGAAAAGACAAAAGAUUUGGAAUAAAAAAGAGAAAAAUAAAAAUUUUUAAAACAACGAAAAAUUAAAAAAAAGUAAAAAUGAAACAUAUGAAAAAAAAAAAGCAAAAAGAAGGAAAAUUGCAAAGGGAAAAAGUUAUUAAAAAUUUACAAGUAAAAAAAAAGUUAGGGAAUCAAAAAAUAUAAAAGGAAAAAAAUAAAAAUAAACAAAGUAAGAAAAUAAAAAUUAGGGAAUCAAAAAAAUAUAAAAAGACAAAAUGAAUAAAAAUUUCAAAUAUAAAAAGAAAGUGCACAAAAAAAGAAGUUUAGUUUUUAAAAAUUACAAAGAAGAAAUAAAAAAAGGUUGUGAACAAAGAUUUAAGAAAAAAAAUAACAAAUGAAAAUACAAAAUAUAUAAAAAAUAUUGAGAAAAAAUAGAAAAAGAAGAAAAAAAUAAAAAAUGAAGAGGCAAAAAUAUGAAAUAAAACAAAAAGAAAAAAAAUAGAAAUUUUAAACAAAGAAAAAAAAUACAAAAAAAGGACAAAAAUUGAAUAAAAAUUUCAAAAAUGAAAUGGAAUGACAAAAUGAAAAAAAAAAGUUUAAAAACAAAAAAAAUUGAAAAACAUAUAAGUCCUAACAAUAUAAAAAGUCAGACAAAAAAUUAAAAAAGAAAAAGUUAAUGCAAAAUAAAAAAAAGUAUGAGAAUUUAAAAAUGCAAAUAAGAAAUGAAAGGAAAUGUGUGGAAAAAAAAGAGAAGCAAGAAAAGACAAAAGAUUUGGAAUAAAAAAUAGAAAAAUAAAAAUUUUUAAAACAACGAAAAAAUUAAAACCAGUAAAAAUGAAAGCAUAUGAAAAAAAAGCAAAAAGAAGGAAAAUUGUGAAGGGAAAAAGUUAUUAAAAAAUUACAAAGUUGAAAAAAAAUAAAUUAAGCGAAAAAAUUAAAUAAAAUACCCAGAAAGGAAAAAUAAAAAUAAACAAAGUAAGAAAAUAAAAAAUUAGCGAAGCAAAAAAAUAUAAAAAGACAAAUGAAUAAAAAUUUCAAAUAUAAAAUGGAAAAAACUUUUAGUUUAGAAUGUAGAAAGAAAAACAAAAAAAAAAAAAACAAAUAGAGGAAAAAGAUAUAAAUAUGAAAGAUGAAAAAUAAAAUAAAAGAAAGUGCACAAAAAAAAGUUUGAGGUUUUAAAAUUAUAAAGAAGAAAUAAAAAAAGGUGCGAACAAAAAGAUUUAAGAAAAAAAUAAAAAAUGAAAAUGCAAAAUAUAUAAAAUAAAAUUGAGAAAAAGAAGAAAAAAAUAAAAAUGAAGAGGCAAAAAUAUGAAAAAAAAUAAAAAGAAAAAAAUUUAUAGAAAAUUUUAAAACAAAGAAAAAAGUGAACAAAAAAAAAUGAAAGCACAUAAAAAAAAAGUAAAAAAAGAAGAAGAAAAAUUCGAAGGAGAAAAAGUUAAUGAAAAAUUAUAAAAAUGCAACAGAAAAUAACCAAGAAUGAUAAAAGAAAAAAGAUAGAAAAAUAAAAAAUUCCAAAACUUUAUAAAAAUUUAUGAAAUUAUAAAUAAAGAAAGAAAAUAAAACACGAAAAAAAUUAAAGCAAAAGAAAAAAGAUAAAUAAAGCACAAAAAAAAAAAACAAAAAUACAACAAAAAUAUAAAAAGUAAGAAAAUGAAAAAGGACAAAAAUUGAAUAAAAAUUUCAAAAAUGAAAUGGAAUGACAAAAUGAAAAAAAUUAGUUUAAAAAAUACAAAAAAUUGAAAAACAUAUAAGUUCUAACAAUAUAAAAAGUUUGGAAUUUAAAAACACAAAUAAGAAAUGAAAGGAAAUUUAUGGAAAAAAAAAAAAGAACAAAAGAUUUGGAAUAAAAAAUAGAAAAAUAAAAUUUUUAAAACGACGAAAAAUUAAAAUAAGAAAAAAAUUAAAGCAAAAGAAAAUAAAGCAUGAAAAAAAAAACAAAAAUACAACAAAAAAUUAUAAAAGGUAAGAAAAUGAAAGAGGACAAAAAUGAAUAAAAAUUUCAAAAAUGAAAUGGAAUGACAAAAUGAAAAUAAAAUUAGUUUAAAAAAUAAAAAAAAAUUGAAAAACAUAUAAGACCUAACAAUAUAAAAAGUCAGACAAAAAAUUAAAAAAGAGAAAAGUUAAUGCAAAAUAAAAAAAAAGUAUGAGAAUUUAAAAGCGCAAAUAAGAAAUGAAAGGAAAUUUGAGGAAAAAAAGAGACAAAAGAUUUGGAAUAAAAAAUAGAAAAAUAGAAAAUUUUAAAACAACAAAAAAAAUUAAAACAAGUAAAAAUGAAAGCAUAUGAAAAAAAAAAGCAAAAAGAAGGCAAAUUAUGAAGGGAAAAAGUUAUUAAAAAAUUACAAAGUAGAAAAAAAGAAAAUAAAAAAUAAAUUAAGAGAAAAAAUUAAAUAAAAUACCAAAAAGGAAAAAAUAAAAAUAAACAAAUUAAGAAAAUAAAAAAUUAGCGAAUCAAAAAAUAUAAAAAGACAAAAUGAAUAAAAAUUUCAAAUAUAAAAUGAAAAAAACUAUUGGUUCAGAAUGUACAAAGAAAAAUAAAAAAAUAUAACAAGCAGAGGAAAAAGAUAUAAAAUAUGAAAGAUGAAAAAUAAAAUAAAAGAAAGUGCACAAAAAAAGAAGUUUGAGGUUUUAAAACUAUAAAGAAGAAAUAAAAAAAGGUGUGAACAAAAAGAUUUAAGAAAAAAAAAAGAAAAUACAAAAUAUAUAAAAUAAAAUUUGAGAAAAAGAAGAAAAAAAAAAAAUGAAGAGGCAAAAAUAUGAAAUAAAAGAAAAAGAAAAAAUUUAUAGAAAAUUUUAAAACAAAGAAAAGUGAACAAAAAAGAAUGAUGGCAUAUAAAAAAAAAGUAAAAAAAAGAAGAAAAAUUUGGAAGGAGAAAAAGUUAAUGAAAAAAAUAUAAAAAUGCAAUAGAAAAUAACCAAGAAUGAUAAAAGAAAAAAGAUAGAAAAGUAAAAAAUUCUAAAACUUUAUAAAAAUUUAUGAAAUUAUAAUAAAGAAAGAAAAUAAAAAUAAAAUAAAAUAAGAAAAAAAGUAAAGCAAAAGAAAAAGAUAAAAAAGCACAAAAAAAAACAAAAAAAAAAACAAAAAAUAUAAAAAGUAAGAAAAUAAAAAAGGACAAAAAUUGAAUAAAAAUUUCAAAAAUGAAAUGGAAUGACAAAAUGAAAAAAAAAUUAGUUUAACAAAAAAUUGAAAAACAUAUAAGACCUAAAAUAUAAAAAGUCAGAGAAAAAAUUAAAAAAGAGCAAAGUUAAUGCAAAAUAAAAAAAAAGUAUGAGAAUUUAAAAACGCAAAUAGAAAUGAAAGGAAAUUUGUGGAAAAAAAAAAAAGAAAAGACAAAAGAUUUGGAAUAAAAAACAGAAAAAUAAAAAUUUUUAAAACAAUGAAAAAUUAAA
rnacentral:lncRNA from 1 species